UAGGAGAAUAAUUGUGAGGGUUGAUGGUAUUGGACAAAGGCUAAAAUGGAUAGGAAUUAGGGAAGACAAGACAGGGAGAACGGAGGUGACACUGUCAAGGAAAUAAAUAAAUGAAGGAUAUUGUAAUAUUGGAUAGAGGUGGAAAGGGAUAGGGGUCAUGUGGGAGGAGAAGAGGAGGGAGGGAAGACAGCUGAACAGGGAGCAUGAUGAAGGAUAUUGUAAUAUUGGAUAGAGGUGGAAAGGGAUAGGGGUCAUGUGGGAGGAGAAGAGGAGGGAGGAAGACAGCUGAACAGGGAGCAUGAUGAAGGAGGGAAAACACAACGUAAAGAGAGGGCCAGAGAAAAUGGGGGAAAUUGAGAUGCAUUCCGUUUGUGUAACAUACCGUACUCUUAUCUUAGGUCCUUUUUCAUUGGAAGGGUCUGGUUGUCCGUAUGGCUGAUGUCUUUUUGCUUAAAUUAUCCGUUGUCUUUUAAUUUUUUCAAAAUAAUAAUUAGGCCUAUAAGUUGAUUUCCACCUUUCGUAUAGUAUAUGAGUUGGGGGUACUUGAGAAGACUCAUGAGACCAUAAGUUUACUGGUAAAAUGUACGUGCGGGGGUAUUUCAGGGGUUCUCUAGGCAAAGCAAAAUUCUGUUGAUGGUACAGUUAGCGAAAAAGGUUGGGAACCACUGCCCUAAUGAACACAACCCACAUCUGUGUAGUUCUCUGGUUAUCCCACAAGGUGGCGGUCUUUUCAUUAAAAUACUAUUGUAUCAUGUCCUACCAAAUAUAGUACCUGGCUGACUGCAGAUAGACUAGGGGAACAUUAAAUAAUGCAGCAUGCGUGUUCUGUUGCUCUUGUCUUACUCUUAACUGAUGUUCUUUUCUUGGAGAGAAGGGUUGGUAAUUGCACUGUAUACCUUUUAAUGUUAAUCACUUUACUAAGAAUGUAUUAAUAAAAGUUCACCUCUGA